rnacentral:rRNA from 1 species
GACGAACGCUGGCGGCGUGCUUAACACAUGCAAGUCGAGCGAACAAAGCUCCUUCGGGAGUGGAGUUAGCGGCGGACGGGUGAGUAACACGUGGGUAACCUGCCUUAUAGAGGGGGAUAGCCUUCCGAAAGGAAGAUUAAUACCGCAUAAGAAGUAGAAGUCGCAUGGCUUUAGCUUUAAAGGAGCAAUCCGCUAUAAGAUGGACCCGCGGCGCAUUAGCUAGUUGGAGAGGUAACGGCUCACCAAGGCGACGAUGCGUAGCCGACCUGAGAGGGUGAUCGGCCACAUUGGAACUGAGACACGGUCCAGACUCCUACGGGAGGCAGCAGUGGGGAAUAUUGCACAAUGGGCGAAAGCCUGAUGCAGCAACGCCGCGUGGGUGAUGAAGGUUUUCGGAUCGUAAAGCCCUGUCUUUUGGGACGAUAAUGACGGUACCAAAGGAGGAAGCCACGGCUAACUACGUGCCAGCAGCCGCCGUAAAAC